rnacentral:rRNA from 1 species
AUUGAACGCUGGCGGCAGGCCUAACACAUGUAAGUCGAACGAGUGGCGGACGGGUGAGUAAUGUCUGGGAAACUGCCUGAUGGAGGGGGAUAAAUCCUGGAAACGGUAGCUAAUACCGCAUACCAUCAGAUGUGCCCAGAUGGGAUUAGCUAGUUGGUGGGGUAACGGCUCACCAAGGCGACGAUCCCUAGCUGGUUUGAGAGGAUGACCAGCCACACUGGAAUUGAGACACGGUCCAGACUCCUACGGGAGGCAGCAUGGGGGAAUAUUGCACAAGGGGCGAAAGCCUGCUGCAGCCAUGCGGGGUGUAUGACGAAGGCCUUGGGGUUGUAAAGUACUUUCAGCGGGGAGGCGUUACCCGCAGAAGAAGCACCGGCUAACUCCGUGCCAGCAGCCGCGGUAAUUC